GGGAGCGACUUGGCUUCGACAGGAGUAAGUCUGCUUAGAUGGCAUGUCGCUUUGGGCAAAGCGUAAAAAGCCCAAAUAAAAUUAAACGCAAACAACGUUAAAUUCGCUCCUGCUUACGCAAAAACUGCGUAAGUUCAGUUGAGCCUGAAAUUUAAGUCAUACUAUCUAGCUUAAUUUUCGGUCAUUUUUGAUAGUGUAGCCUUGCGUUUGACAAGCGUUGAGGUGAAAUAAAGUCUUAGCCUUGCUUUUGAGUUUUGGAAGAUGAGCGAAGUAGGGUGAAGUAGUCAUCUUUGCUAAGCAUGUAGAGGUCUUUGUGGGAUUAUUUUUGGACAGGGGUUCGAUUCCCCUCGCUUCCACCA
rnacentral:tmRNA from 1 species